AAGUCAUGUAGCACUAGAUCCUGACCAUUGCAACCCCAUUGUUCCUAUAGAUAGGGUUUGUGACACUGGAAUCCUAAGACUCUUUGAGAAUUGAUUUGCGUCCUCAUUGUUCCUACAGGCAAGAUCUCUGACAUUAGAAUCAUAAGACUUUUGCUUAAAGAUUGCUUAAGAUGUUUUUUAGACCCCGAAUUCCAGCAACCAUUUUGGAGACCCUUCCAGAGGAAGGGGAUCAGCAUGAGAACACAGCCUCAUCCUCUCCCAGCCCCAUGACUUCACCUGCACUCCUCAACCAACCGGCCCACUCCAAAACUCUUAAAACCACAACUCCAAACUCCUCCGGAGAUGGAUCUGAGGUUUCCGCUCAUCUCCUCAUUUGGUGACCCUAUGAUUAAACCUGUUUCUCUGUUGCAACCGGUGUUUCAGUAUAUUGAUUUGCUGUGUACAUCACGCAACAAACCUGUUCCAGUUACAAUUCUACUGCAGCUUGCUAGUGCCCAGACAUUUGUAACUAGUAAGCAAGAAAGCCUCUCGAAACCCGUCCAGUUCUGACAUCCUGGGAUUUCCAAGCGAUGCCCACACCAAGUCCACAUGAGCUCCUCCCCCUCCCCUGCCCCCCACCUGCCAUGCCGGCCUCUCUGUUCUACUGAGAUGGUAGCAACCAGACUUGCCCUGGCUGCUGCCACUGCCUCAUCCCCCUCCAGAAAGCACCAGGUUGUACCCCCACUGUCCACAGCCCAGUGGUAUGAACAGAUGGCUAUUGGUCCUCAUGUUGUUCAUCUAUGUUCUCCCAGAAUAUGUCAGGCAGUGCGGAAAAAGUGACCGAGGACAAGGCUGAAAGUCAGUGGUCCUGCCGGCUGACUUUCUUCCAGGGUGACUGACUAUGGUUCCAAAGUCCCGCGUCUCACUCUCAGCAGCCAUGAAGCAGACACCCUGGAUUCAGGGAAAAUUGACUUUGGAUUGAGUUCAGACAAAACCAGGGAGUGGGGAGCAAUGUUUCUCAGAACUCAAGUGAAAAAAACAUACUGUAGUUAAUAUUAAAUAAGGCGAUUGGGCAA